GAUGAACGCUGGCGGCGUGCCUAAUACAUGCAAGUCGAGCGAAGCGGGGACGGGUGAGUAACACGUGGAUAACCUCCUAUAAGACUGGGAUAACUUCGGGAAACCGGAGCUUAACCCGCUACUUAUAGAUGGAUCCGCACUGCAUUAGCUAGUUGGUAAGGUAACGGCUUACCAAGGCAACGAUGCAUAGCCGACCUGAGAGGAUGAUCGGCCACACUGGAACUGAGAAACGGUCCAGACUCCUACGGGAGGCAGCAGUGGGGAAUCUUCCGCAAUGGGCGAAAGCCUGACGGAGCAACGCCGCGUGAGUGAUGAAGGUCUUCGGAUCGUAAAACUCUGUUAUUAGGGAAGCGUUACCUAAUCAGAAAGCCCCGGCUAACUACGUGCCAGCAGCCGCGGUAAUUC
rnacentral:rRNA from 1 species